UUUGGUUCCACUUUAGCUUUUAUAUUUUUCCUCUUUUUCGUAAUUUUUAAAGUUUUUAAUUUCGCUAUUCUGACUUUCUCUCUUUCUUUCUAUUCUUAGUGUGUUACCCUAAGAAGACCAAGAAGCUUUCGCUCAUUCUGUGUUACCCUACGAAUACGAAGAAGACAAACAAGCUUUCCCUCGUUCUAUGCCUUCCAUUGUUCUCCCUCUCCCUGCGAUCAAAGAGCUGAAGAUGUUCUUUCUCUUUCGAUUUUAUCUCUCUAAUUUCGUCUGAGUCCCAUUUUAAAGAUCUUAUUCUAGUUGUGCAUUGCUGUCCUGUUUCAAUUUUUGAAUUGAUUUUAGUUUAUCUCUUUCCCAUGCCCUAACUCAGUUUUUUUGCUUAAAGUUUAUAGUACUCCUUUCAAUUUCCCUAAUUUAUUUUGUGCUUUCAUCUUUCUCAUAUCCUAUCUCCUCCGCCUAAUUGUUAGUAUGUUUUUUUAUUACUUUGGACAGAUUAAACAUGGAGUGGUGAUUGGGGAUUUGGGAUUUGGACAACUUUUCAAACUUUGUACACUCGAUUGGAACUCAAACACAUAGUAGAAGAACUACAUAAAGCCAAGAUAGCAAAGUGAAUCUUCAUUGCCAUUGUGAAUAACAAGCUAGCUGUGUAUGCUUUGAUAUGGUUUUUAGGGUAGAAACUCAAGAUGGAGGUGAUGCAAAGGUUAAAAUUUCUCCUCGUGAUAUAGUUUAUACACAGCUUGCUAAACCUAUAGAAGGUGAACAACCAACGAUAUUCCACAAGCUUGAUUUCUGCUAUGGGUGUGUAGAACAAAUUAUAAAUUCUAAAAUGCAGUUCUCCACCAGUUAUAAAUUCUGCAAUAUGACAAAUAUGCAUAUUGGAAGUUUUGAGGAGGAAUUGUCGUCCAAUCCAUCAGAUGAAGUGGCAGAGUACAUAUUGGAAGGGAAAUGGCAAAAGGUUGUGAACAUGUAUAACCAAUUCCCAACUUGUCACACGACAAUGAUUAACCCAUCCGUGGGCACUACGCUGCACGUGGUGGUGGAUUUGGACGAAGAGGAAGUGGUUGAAAAGCUUGUGAAUGCCAUCAUCAGACACAAGACGAUGAAGGCUCUAGAAAUGAGGAACUAUUGAGGGGAUAUCGCUCUGCAUGUUGCUGCUUCCAAGGGUUUCGCAAAGAUAUGUGAGUUGAUCAUAGGAACCAAGAAGGAGAGGAUUUACUUGGUGAGACUCAAGAACAAAGAAGGAGAGACACCUCUCUUUGAAGCUGCUCUCAACUAGAAGAAACUGGUCUUUGCUUAUCUUUCUAACAUUUCUGACAACAGUCCUCCAUUGGAAGAUCUUGUGCGACACAAUGAUGACACUAUUCUUAAUUGUGCUAUUAGAAGAGAGUAUUUUGUUACUCUUGUGGAAGAACUAGACUCUAAAAGACAAAUGGAGACAAUUUUGGAAAAGGUGAAGAAGCAACCAAAAUCUGACGAACCAUAUUUUCCAAAGAACUGUCACAUUAUGUGACUUCAUUGCUGGAUUCAAAUGUCUUGAUGCUCUAACUGAUUUUGAAUCAUGGCGUUUGCAGACAAUUUUUUUUACUAAAAGUAAACAGCAAGACCCAAAAAACCCAUCAACUGAGGAGCGUGAAAUCGAAUCUAAAGCUUCUGGGGAUGCAUUUGUACUUACUCUUUGGCUUUUAGGAGUAGAAGAGGAGGAUAGGAAGGUAGUACUUUCACUGUUUGAGAAGAAUUUCCCAAAUGAACUUAUGUGGAAAAGAUAGAACUUGAAGCUAUACAGAGAGCAACUUCUACAUUGGAGAUCAAAUCUGCAUUCUCUCUCUUAGUAGAGAAAGCAACUAUCAAGAAUCAACUUGAUGAAGUGAAUGAAACAAUCCCAAAGGAGGAGCUUUUAGAAUACCUGAUGUAUCUCUUUUACACCAUAAUCACUUGUUAAUUUUUCUUGUUUAAAAUAAAUAACAUUGUACUGACUCUUUAAUUUUAACUUUUGGGCUUUGUCAUUUACAUUGUUUGAUAUUAAAAUUGUAGACUUUGUUAUUUGUUCCUUUUAUAAAUAUAUGUACAAAUUAUAAAUACCAAAUAUCUAAAAUAUUUGUCUUUUA